rnacentral:lncRNA from 1 species
CCCCAAUCCUCUAAAAUCCCCAAAGACACACCUGUCUUUAACUCCAGCUUCAGGGGAUCUCUUGGUAGCUUCUGGCCUCCAUGGGCACUAUGCAAUGAAGCACCUAUACACUCACACACAAACACACACAGAGAAAGAGGGAGGAGGAAGGGAACUUUUUACACAAUAACAUUUGCAAAAAUUUUAACUUAAAUUCUGUGACAUUUUCUAAAAUUUAAAAAACUUCAUUAAAAACUUUCACAAGUUUCUCAUCCUUAUGUUUCUAUUACGUAUAAUGUUAGGAUUUGUAAGCUAAGAUAAUACUGGAUAAAUGCUAUGUCACAUGAUUUACAUUGGUAUGUUUCUCUCCAGUAUGAACUCUCUGAUGUCUUCUAAGAUUUGAAAGGUGGAUAAAGGAUUUGUCACAGUCUUUGCAUUUGUAAGGUUUCUCUCCAGUAUGAAUUUUCUGAUGUGCUCUAAGGUAGGAGCACCUAGUAAAAGAUUUGUCACAUUCUGUACAUCUAUAAGGUUUCUCUCCAGUAUGAACUCUCUGAUGUGCUCUAAGAUUUGAGUUAUGAGUAAAGGACUUGUCACAUUCCAUACAUUUGUAAGGUUUCUCACCAGUAUGAAGUUUCUGAUGUCUUCUGAGAUUUGAAAUCUGGUUAAAUGAUAUGUCACAGUCUUUGCAUUUGUAAGGUUUCUCUCCAGUAUGAAUUUUCUGAUGUAUUCUAAGACUAGAAAUCCGGACAAAGGAUAUGUCACAGUCUUUGCACUUGUAUGGUUUCUCUCCAGUAUGAAUUUUCUGAUGUGCUCUAAGGUAGGAGCACCGAGUAAAAGAUUUGUCACAUUCCUUACAACUGUAAGGUCUCUCUCCAGUAUGAACUCUGUGAUGUGUUCGAAGAUGUGAGUCCUGGGUAAAAGAUUUGUCACAUUCCUUACAUCUGUAAGGUCUCUC